rnacentral:lncRNA from 1 species
CACCCUCAUUUGGCAUGUUCAUGCUAACAAUUAUUAUCAAUAAAUAACUGUCAUUCUACUUAUUAAUCUGCAAGUCUAUUUUCAAAACAAAGUAAAAAGUCAUCUUCAUAAAAAGGAGGUACUAUGACAGAAUAAAUGUAAUCGGACUGAGUUGAAAAAGGAAAAUCCUAUGGAUUUACUAUCUUGUGGUGGAAUGAUGUAGUCCAAGGAAAAGUGGAGGUGAAGAAGGCGGCGUUUGCUUAGUUGGCAGGGAGCACAAGCGAGGAAG